rnacentral:rRNA from 1 species
UACGGGGGGAGCAAGCGUUGUUCGGAAUUACUGGGCGUAAAGGGCUCGUAGGUGGCCAACUAAGUCAGACGUGAAAUCCCUCGGCUUAACCGGGGAACUGCGUCUGAUACUGGAUGGCUUGAGUUCGGGAGAGGGAUGCGGAAUUCCAGGUGUAGCGGUGAAAUGCGUAGAUAUCUGGAGGAACACCGGUGGCGAAGGCGGCGUCCUGGACCAACACUGACACUGAGGAGCGAAAGCCAGGGGAGCAAACGGG